CCAUUUAACAUUUUUAUAAACCAAUUGCAAUCAGGCAUCCUCAGCGACGCCAAAUGCGAUUGCAGCAAAAAUCGCCUCCUUCUUUUCUCUUGCUGCUAAGGGUACUUGACAUUAAACCAAGCAGGUCGAGAAUCUCGAAGGUUGAUACAGCGAAAUGCUUUUAAAUGGAGUAAAAUUCAGAGGUAGUCAGCGGAAGCCUCCUGGCCUUACCCGUUUUUUUCUGGAUUUUCGAAACGAACAGGAGGAUGGUCGGCGUUCGCCGGUCGGAGGCUUCCCUCCCCUCCCGGGGAGAUCCUCCAAGGGGGGGACGGUGACGGUGACGGUGGCCGGCGGCGGGCGCGAAAGAGAGAGGGGGUGGACGGAGGAGGAGACGUGCGGUGGGCCCGCGGCGGGACAGGUGGGACGCGCAAAGGAAGGAGGGCGAAUUUUUUAAGUUGGAAUGAUUUUUGCCGAUUUUAUUGAUGCCCGGCUCGGGCCUAGCUGUCCGCCAGUAUCCUUGUUAUCUUUCUUUCUUUCUUUUCUAUUUCUUUGCUUCCCAGAUUAUUAUUCACGUCCUGUCUGUUU
rnacentral:lncRNA from 1 species